CCAAAUUUUAUUCAUUUCUUCUUUUGUUUUCAGAACUUUUCUGUAUGUGCAGUUGUUUUUUUUUCUAUUUGUUUCUUUUCCAAGUUUUUUUCUUUUGAUCUUUCCGAUUUCUUUUUUAUUCAUGAAUAUAUUUGGAGAGAUGAAUUUUAGAUAAGCAUUGCUUUCCUUGAAUCCUGAAAAUUUGGGUAUGGUGGCUCAUUUUAUCAGUUUAUUCUAUGAGAUGAUCUCUACUUUUUCUGAUUUGUCCUAUGUGCGUUUUGUUUUCCACCUUUUGCUCAGGUGCUCUCCAGAUAUUGACUGCCUGACUGACUGAUUUGAUCUGCUGGGACCCCAUCCCCUGCGCAGCGUUAUGGCCUGCGUUCCAUAGGCUGAAUCAAGCCCCGCCUCCAUCGGUGACGUCACGGGGCUCCUCCUUUCUGCGGUUUUCACCUGCCUGGGGCCCCCAGCAUUCUGUGAAAAGAGGCCGCCAACGGAAGCAGCCAGAGCUCCGUCCGCCUCCCAUCCUCCCCGCCCCCACCCCAACCCCACCCCCUCUCCCCCCUCCCCGGGCCUGCCUGAUCCUCGGUGAGAGUCCCCUGUCUGUGGGAGAAUUUCCAUCUAGGUAUUUUUAUUGGCAUCUUUAUCAGGACGUACACAUCUCGAUAAUGUUGGCAUAACAUUGGCAGAACGAUCUAUUUAAGUCUGGUUCUAUUAUGUGCACUGGGUCUUGGCAGGAGGUAAGGAAUUAUACAAUACUGUUCCCUAAAACUAUGCUGUGUUACAUUUUAACCUCUCUAGGACAGUGUUGUAUUAGAAUUUAACUCUCAC
rnacentral:lncRNA from 1 species